GAUGAACGCUGGCGGCGUGCCUAAUACAUGCAAGUCGAGCGAACAGACGAGGAGCUUGCUCCUUCGACGUUAGCGGCGGACGGGUGAGUAACACGUAGGUAACCUACCUAUAAGACUGGGAUAACUUCGGGAAACCGGAGCUAAUACCGGAUAAUAUUUCGAACCGCAUGGUUCGAUAGUGAAAGAUGGCUUUGCUAUCACUUAUAGAUGGACCUGCGCCGUAUUAGCUAGUUGGUAAGGUAACGGCUUACCAGGGCAACGAUACGUAGCCGACCUGAGAGGGUGAUCGGCCACACUGGAACUGAGACACGGUCCAGACUCCUACGGGAGGCAGCAGUAGGGAAUCUUCCGCAAUGGGCGAAAGCCUGACGGAGCAACGCCGCGUGAGUGAUGAAGGUCUUCGGAUCGUAAAACUCUGUUAGUAGGGAAGAACAAACGUGUAAGUAACUGUGCACGUCUUGACGGUACCUAAUCAGAAAGCCACGGCUAACUACGUG
rnacentral:rRNA from 1 species